UACGGGGGGGGCAAGCGUUGUUCGGAAUUACUGGGCGUAAAGGCUCGUAGGCGCCAACUAAGUCGACGUGAAAUCCCCAGGCUACACCGUGGAACUGCGUCUGAUACUGGAUGGCUUGAAUCGGGAGAGGGAUGCAGAAUUCCAGGUGUAGCGGUGAAAUGCGUAGAUAUCUGGAGGAAUACCGGUGGCGAAGGCGGCAUCCUGGACCGCAUUGACGCUGAGGAGCGAAAGCCGGUGGGAGCAGAACGAGGAUUACGAUAC
rnacentral:rRNA from 1 species